AACGAACGCUGGCGGCGCGUCUUAAACAUGCAAGUCGAACGAGAACCCUGGUGCUUGCAUUGGGGGGAAAGUGGCGAACGGGUGAGUAACACGUGGAUAAUCUGCCUCUGGGAUGGGGACAACCCCGGGAAACCGGGGCUAAUACCGAAUAAGAUGGUAGUUGCAUAAGCAGCAGCCAUUAAAGGUGGGGACCGCAAGGCCUACUGCCUGGAGAUGAGUCCGCGGCCCAUUCGCUUGUUGGAGGGGUAACGGCCCACCAAGGCGACGAUCAGUAGCCGGUCUGAGAGGAUGGACGGCCACACUGGGACUGAGACACGGCCCAGACUCCUACGGGAGGCAGCAGUGGGGAAUCUUCCGCAAUGGACGAAAGUCUGACGGAGCGACGCCGCGUGAGUGAUGAAGGCCCUUGGGUCGUAAAGCUCUGUCAUCAGGGACGAACGGUCACGUCAGGAAAUGGGCGUGAAUUGACGGUACCUGAGAAGGAAGCCACGGCUAACUACGUGCCAGCCGCCGCUGUAAAAC
rnacentral:rRNA from 1 species